rnacentral:lncRNA from 1 species
UUUUACCAACUGAUAGCCCGAAAUGAUGUGGGAGAAUCAAAAGACCAGUUGGUAGCGCGCUAUAUUGGUGGACUACGAUUGAAUUUGCAAGACGUCCUAAAUAUGUUCUCGCCGGUAUCUGUUUCUGAGGCUCACCAGUGAGCACUUCAGGCUGAAAAUCAACAACGUCGUUCUGUAGUAGGCAUUUCUGGUGGUCCAUCUGGAGGUGGGGGUCGACAAUUCGCCCCAAAUCCCACAUUUGGUC